ensembl:snoRNA C16D2.4 ncRNA
UUGGCUUUCUCAAACAUCUGUAGUGCGUAUCCAGAUUAUCGACUUCCUGAAAGAGUAAGUUUUGAGAAUUUGGAUUAUUUAUCAUUUUCAAUUUAAGGCCGUUUUCGCAUAGUUUUGAUUUAUGCUCAUAAA